rnacentral:rRNA from 1 species
AGCAGCCGCGGUAAUUCCAGCUCCAAUAGCGUAUAUUAAAGUUGUUGCAGUUAAAAAGCUCGUAGUUGAAUUUCGGGGUUAGUAGGUUGGUCAUGCCUCUGGUAUGUACUGGUCUCACUGAUUCCCCCUUCCUGAUGAGCCGUAAUGCCAUUAAUUUGGUGUUGCGGGGAAUUUGGACUGUUACUUUGAAAAAAUUAGAGUGUUUAAAGCAAGCUAACGCUUGAAUACAUUAGCAUGGAAUAAUGAAAUAGGACGUUCGAUCCUAUUUUGUUGGUUUCUAGGAUUGACGUAAUGAUUAAUAGGGAUAGUUGGGGGCAUUAGUAUUCAAUUGUCAGAGGUGAAAUUCUUGGAUUUAUUGAAGACUAACUACUGCGAAAGCAUUUGCCAAGGAUGUUUUCAUUAAUCAAGAACGAAAGUUAGGGGAUCGAAGACGAUCAGAUACCGUCGUAGUCUUAACCAUAAACUAUGCCGACUAGGGAUCGGAUGAUGUUAAUUUUUUAAUGACUCAUUCGGCGCCUUACG